rnacentral:rRNA from 1 species
GUGGGGAAUCUUCCGCAAUGGACGAAAGUCUGACGGAGCAACGCCGCGUGAGUGAUGAAGGUCUUCGGAUUGUAAAACUCUGUUGUCAGGGACGAAUGUGCGAACGUUGAAUAAGCGUUUGUAUUGACGGUACCUGACGAGGAAGCCACGGCUAACUACGUGCCAGCAGCCGCGGUAAUACGUAGGUGGCAAGCGUUGUCCGGAAUUAUUGGGCGUAAAGAGCAUGUAGGCGGGCUUUUAAGUCCGACGUGAAAAUGCGGGGCUUAACCCCGUAUGGCGUUGGAUACUGGAAGUCUUGAGUGCAGGAGAGGAAAGGGGAAUUCCCAGUGUAGCGGUGAAAUGCGUAGAUAUUGGGAGGAACACCAGUGGCGAAGGCGCCUUUCUGGACUGUGUCUGACGCUGAGAUGCGAAAGCCAGGGUAGCAAACGGGAUUAGAAACCCCUGUAGUCC